rnacentral:sRNA from 1 species
UUACCUCCUCGAAGCAGGGGUCGCCCUCC